GACAGAGGAUGCAAGCGGUUAUCCGGAAUGAUUGGGCGUAAAGUCGUCUGGUAGGUGGCUUUUUAAGUCCGCCGUCAAAUCCCCAGGGCUCAACCCUGGACAGGCGGUGGAAACUACCAAGCUGGAGUACGGUAGGGGCAGGAGGGAAUUUCCGGUGGAGCGUGAAAUGCGUGAGAGGAUCGGAAAGAACACCAACGGCGAAAGCACUCUGCUGGGCCGACACUGACACUGAGAGACGAAAGCUAGGGGAGCGAAUGGG
rnacentral:rRNA from 1 species